CCUCUUUCCUCCUCCUCCUUGUCCAGUGAGCAGCUAGGUUGCUCUUGCCAGAAGCCUGAACUGAUCACAGGUUGCACAUCCCUGUUUAAACUGUUCAGAACUGGAAUCAUUUUCAUAGCUUAAUGUUUUGCUACCCCAAUAUUUACUGCUAGAGCCAGUUCACAAUACUCUUUUAACACGCUUUGUAUCUAUUGUAGAGUUCAUGGAACUAGUGUUUUGACCAGAACUUUUGAGCUAUACCAGCCAGAAUCUUCCAUCCAGCUGGGAUUCUGGGAGUUGUAGCCCAAAAGUAGGUUUUCUGUCCUCUGGUUUUGAUCAUGUAUUCUUGCAUACAUUAAUGUUUUCCUUUAAAAGGGAAAGAACUGGCAAUUAAGAUACUUUAGGACACCUUGUUUAUUUAUUUAUUUAUUUUUAGGAUUUAUUACAGUGAGAUCCUGCACUGCUAAGAAUAACACGGAAUGCCAGUGUCUUGAGGGAUAUUACUGCCCUCCUGGUUGUGAAGAAUGUAUCAAGUGCAAGAAAGAAUGUCCUGAAGGGCAGGUGGAGAGGCAGAGCUGCAGUCCGACCACAGAUAUGGAGUGCAUGCCAGCUGUCACAGGAAAUUCUAUACUCCAACAUUUGGGAAUCAUCUUUGGUGUGUCUGCACUUGUUUGCUUAUUAUUGUUCCUGUGCUUCUGGAUAUAUAAAAAGAGAAAACCUAAAAGAGAAAAAGAAGGAGGCUGUUUUGGAUCGGAUAUAGAUGUGGCCUUCCCACCCAAAGAAAAAGAAGGCAAGGAUUUUUUGGUAAGUAAUCUGUAAACAACAUGUUUUUCGACCAGAAAUAUACGGAAUUUCACAAGAGGAUUUUGGUUAUCUUGUUCAUGAGCAUUCAGUGGCUGAGGUGGGAUCUGCUCCCCUACCACCAUAGUCUAAUAAGCAGCAUGC